CCAAGCGGAAACUGCAGCGCGCGGGCAACCCCACUGGAACAGGGCACGAGAGAAAGUGGCAACCAAACCGAGGGCAAAACUAAGCAGUCCUGUGAGAAUUCGCAGAAAAUAUGCCUCGUAAUUCGAGUAACAGUACCAAGGAACGACAUGCACGCCGCACAUGCCAUCGAUUCAUUCUCCAACUGCCUGUUACAACACCAGUCCCCUACAGGAUGCAAGCAGGGGCAUAAAUGAACGUCAAGUAAUGAAUUGGAGCUGGCACGCCUGCUUGGCAAAAAGAGGCCAAACAAAGCUGAUGAGCGCGAGAUGAUUUUCUCUCCUUAAUGUGCUGUUGAAAGAAGAAACGUCAUUCCCGAGGAAGGGUAGAUAACAAUUCACAAACUAAUUGUUAUUGUGCACUAAAGGCUAUUUCGAUGGCUAGUAUAGGGGAGGAUAGGAUACAUCAAGUUUAAUUCAGAGAGAGAGAGAGCAUAUUAAACAGAUCGGACAGAUUUCCUGAAAUGCACGAGAGAGAGAGAGAGAGAGAGAGAGAGAGAGAGAGAGAGAGAGAAAGAGAGAGAGAGGAACAGCACAUUCCCUGUGUGUCCCAGCAGGUUUAAUCUGAAUCAAACUAAAAUAAAAUGAGAGAACCUCCAGGAUUUGUUUACACUGAACGCCAGAGCAGGGCCGCUGCCAUGGGGCCGUCUAGUCAUUAAUAUACAGCAGGCUUUGGGGGCUAAAAUAUCUGCGUUGCGUUUUUUUAGCGCGCGUUUACAAAAAAAAAAAAAAAAAAAAUAGAAAAGAAAAGAAAAUGGGCGUCUCGCGUGGCUGUGAAGAAACGCGAGGAAAAAAAAGAAGAGAAGGAGAGUGGAAGCGUGCAAACGACCAAGUUUUGAAGUUUAAACGAAAUCUCAAAUGCAUGAUGUUUGUUAUUUGUUUGUUUACGGGACAAGGUCCCCAUGUUCCCCGCUGAGGACGUCAUUUGUUCUUGGUGCAAGCAAGAGAGGGGGAAAAUCCCCAAGUAUAACAAGAGACGAACAGUUAGUGCUGAUUUUCAUUUGCAUAAAUUUUCAUAUAUUUUAGUGAAAAUAAUAGCGGUGCCGAGGAGAGCUCUCCGCUCAGUCGAGGCAGAGCGAAAAUCUUAGGAAGGACCAGAUCGGAGGAGGGAGACUGCACGGUUACUGACCAAGAUGUGAAAAAAAACCCCUAAAUCUGAGACUUUUUUAAGAAUGUUUUUUUGGAGAACCUGGAUUAUUUGCUCACGAAGAGGACUGCCCUCCUUCGGUCCCUCGCUCCACUCAUCCUCGUCUCUCCACCUCUCCCCUUCCUUCAGGGACAGGGGCCCCUACUAGGGACCCAGCCUUACAGUACAACCAAGGGACCAAUGCCAUGACCAUGCUGCAAACACACACACACACACAUACACACACACACACACACACUUCCGUUUUCAGCUCACACUGGCACUGCAGCCCUUCUCCUUCUGGCUAUUUUUCUUUGAGAGACUAUAAAAAAUAUGCAAAUGCUAUUGUUAAAGAAGAAAGCAAAGGCGUUUGUUUCUCCACGCUUAUAGAGUGCAAGGAAGGCGAAAGGAAGGAUUUCACAUUUGUCUCUUUAUGAAGACGGACAGAGAAAGAGGGAAUACGCACAAUAGGUGACCAGGUAGGAUAUUAAAAUUAGCUCCCAAAAGCAGCCGUUGCUAGUUAUUCUAGUGGGGCUGGUGUCAAGAGCGCCACUCUGGGGCUCUCUUUCAUCAUGGACGUCAGGCCUUAAACACAUGGCGUCGAGCGCUUAAACAGUGCAGAAAGUACGGAGGCACAUUUGCAAAGCCCUCAUGGUGCCAUCUACACUUUUUGAAGUGAUUACGGAGACGGCUCAGAUCAAAGGCUCUGACAACUCAGAGUGCCCGCCAAGACUGAGCCGCACUAAUCGUGCCGAAGAGUCAGGCAACAAUGCAACACGCAUAAAAAGAUUAUCAGGAGACAGAAAAACGUCUGGGGAAGCAAAUACAGGAAUAGAUGUAUUUAUUUUAUUUAUUUUUUUUUCAAUUCAACAGCACUGAUAAAGCGGAGGAGAUCAGCAAAAACAUUAAUAAAUAUUAAAAUGAUCAGAUGUUGGGGGGAAAAAAAAUGAUGGAGGAACAUUUUUGCAGGAAAAUGUUUCAGGUUUAGCAAGAGAUUUGAGGCUGAUGACGGGCUUGUUCUAACUCAGCUACAUGUAAGGCCUAGUAGUCAAAAUGGCCUGGAUGUACCUUCCUUAUAUAGUGUUUCCAGAUCACAUACUUUUGCAUGAUUACAUUACAGUAAGCACAGAGUUUUCAUUUCCUAUGGCUCGACAUAAUACCUGCAAGAGAAGCAUGUGUUUUCAUGGUUUAGUUUUAUUUCUGCCGUUCCAUUGUCAUUCCUUUUGACUAUAACUGAAUUACUCAGAGUAAAACAUGCUGUAAUAACACUGCUAGACCGUGCAUGACUGUUACAUUUAUUGUUUCUAAAGCAGUAAUAUCAGAAUAUAGAUAACAUUUUAGAUAUUAUAUAGGACGCGGACAUAAAUAAAGAAAUAAAUGCAUAUGUACAGUACAUUAACUGUAAUAUACUGUACUGUAGCUGCCUUAAUAUAUAGACUGGCAAAUGCAGGUAAGACCUUCAAGGACAAAAUCCCACCUGACCCCUCUGUCACGUCUCGUGCUAUGCUUUCCAACAUUUCUUUCAUGCUGUAUUUUUUAUUUAUUUAUUUUUUUUAUAGUUCUCUUUGUGGACUUUGUAAUCUGUGUACACUGUGCUGGUGCAUGAACAAUAAAGGUUCUGUGAGCUCAA